UAUAGAUACUAUCUCAUUAUUAUGAGAUAGUAUCUCAUAAUUAUGAGAUACUAUCUCAUUAUUAUGAGAUAGUAUCUCAUAAUAAUGAGAUGAAUUCUGCUGGCCUCCACGGACUUCUGUUUUUGCACUUCCGUAUUUUUCAACCUGCAGCAGCAGCAGUGCAGCACACAACUUCGUUCGCGCUGAGUGGUCAGAAUGGCUAUUUGUACGCGUUUGCUGCUAGACCUCCCAAGAAUAAUGGUUAACGAUGUACACCGAAUCUUUCUUGCCUCGUCCGAAAUGCCAAAAUCUAGUAUGGACAAAGCUUGUAUUGUAUGUGCCCGGCUACAUACACAGCUAUGAAGCCUUGUGAUGUCAUGUGGCAGCUCAACUCUACCAGACGGCACAUUUCUCCCAGCUGAAACUUACAUCGGUCAGUGUUGAGCUGCACAGAAACUGAACAACAGUGGCACAAAACGGGGACCAAGGUAUUAAACCAGGUCCAGUUAAUGACAUGGUCAUCAUAUCAGCCAGACCAAGAGAGAGGAGACCGGUAGAAUGAACAAGAAGCAGUUUGUAAAAAGGAGUCAGCUUCCCCGAUGACAGACAGCUUCAUUCUGAAGGUGCAGGAGGCGUACCACGGACUUGGUGCAGAUGAGGCUCCGGUGAUGACAACCAUGGCUGUCUCUGGUGAUGUACCUCUGGUAGGGUCCACGUUUGGUUCGGUGCAGGAGGGAAGCAGGCCAUCUUACCAACUACCAGUGAGGACGGCCCCCAGGACGCGUCCACACAAAGACAACCCUUCUCUCCCACAACAGUCUCUCUCUCAUUAUAGACUGGGACCCUCUGCAUGUGCAUUUGUGUUUACUGAACAUCAUCAUUUCACAUCCCUCACAACAUCAUUGGGGAAAUCAUACAAAGCUGAGAACAGAACACAAUCGCAGAGUUUCUGUGUGGAGGGGCACCAACUAAGGAGAUGCCACAUCACUUCUACAAAAUUUAGAUAAGUGUCACACCAGGGCAGAAGGUUCUGCUGAGAACCUUGUGAAACAGCCUAUGGGAACAAGUAGUCAGACUGAUGACAAAUGUUGGGGUCUUGCUUUGGAGCCUACAGCCAUCAAGGAGUACUGCAAGGUAAUAGAGGUAAACCACUACCCUUGUGGGGUCCUGAUCCACCCUGAGGCACCAUGGAUGGGUUCAACACCAGAUGGGAUUAUGUAUGAUCCUGAGGGCAGCUUGAGUGUGGCCUACUGGAAAUAAAAUGCCUAAAUGUGUGUAGCUUUGUGGACUAUUAUGCUCAGAAAAGGUUUACUCUCUGUGGCGAUCUCAUCCUCAUUACUGGCAGGUCAGUGUUGACUGUUGAUUUCUCCAUGUGAGUGGUGUGACUUUGUUGUUUACACCACAGAUGACAUGUUUAUUCAGCGAGUUCCCCGUGACAUGGAAGUCAUACAGACACUAUUGUAAUGUUUUCAUUGCUGUUUAAACGUAAAGACUUACUGUGGGGGAAAUUCAAUGUAAAUCUGCAGUAAAAUUAAAUAUUUCUGCACU